ACGGGGGGGGCAAGCGUUGUUCGGAAUUACUGGGCGUAAAGGGUUCGUAGGUGGCUCGCUAAGUCACACGUGAAAUCCCUCAGCUUAACUGGGGAACUGCGUGUGAGACUGGCAAGCUCGAGUGCAGGAGAGGAGUGCGGAAUUCCAGGUGUAGCGGUGAAAUGCGUAGAUAUCUGGAGGAACACCGGUGGCGAAGGCGGCAUUCUGGACCGACAUUGACGCUGAACGGCGAAAGCUAGGGGAGCAAACGGGA
rnacentral:rRNA from 1 species